rnacentral:sRNA from 15 species
AUCCCGCGGGCAAUCUAAAACUAUACAGGAGGAUAAGCGUAUG